rnacentral:rRNA from 1 species
GGGUUGUGAGGUUAAGCGACUAAGCGUACACGGUGGCAUGCCCUGGCAGUCAGAGGCGAUGAAGGACGUGCUAAUCUGCGAAAAGCGUCGGUAAGGUGAUAUGAACCGUUAUAACCGGCGAUGUCCGAAUGGGGAAACCCAGUGCAAUUCGUUGCACUAUCGUUAACUGAAUACAUAGGUUAACGAGGCGAACCGGGGGAACUGAAACAU